AGCAUGGGGAAUUUUCCGCAAUGGGCGCAAGCCUGACGGAGCAACGCCGCGUGGGUGACGAAGGAUUUCGGUCUGUAAAGCCCUUUCUGUCGGGACGAGUCGCAGACGGUACCGACAGAAGAAGCAUCGGCUAACUACGUGCCAGCAGCCGCGGUAAGACGUAGGAUGCGAGCGUUGUCCGGAAUUAUUGGGCGUAAAGCGUACGUAGGCGGUCAUCUAAGUCUGGGGUUAAAGACCACGGCUCAACCUUGGGAGUGCCCUGGAUACUGGGUGACUGGAGGACGGCAGAGGAAAGUGGAAUUCCCAGUGUAGCGGUGAAAUGCGUAGAUAUUGGGAGGAACACCAGUGGCGAAAGCGACUUUCUGGGCCGUUCCUGACGCUGAGGUACGAAAGCCAGGGGAGCAAACGGGAUUAGAUACCCCGGUAGUCCUGGCCGUAAACGAUGGAUACUAGGUGUCAUCGGUAUCAACCCCGGUGGUGCCGUAGCUAACGCGUUAAGUAUCCCGCCUGGGGAGUACGGUCGCAAGGCUGAAACUCAAU
rnacentral:rRNA from 1 species